rnacentral:tRNA from 1 species
CACGCUGUAGCUCAGUUGGUAGAGCCCUGGAUUGUGAUUCCAGUUGUCGUGGGUUCGAGCCCCAUCAGCCACCCCA